GAUGAACGCUGGCGGUGUGCCUAAUACAUGCAAGUCGUACGUAUUCUCGUUUCUGAUUGACGGUGCUUGCACCUAAUUGACGAGACAUUGGAAUGAGUGGCGGACGGGUGAGUAACACGUGGGUAACCUGCCCCAAAGCGGGGGAUAACAUUUGGAAACAGAUGCUAAUACCGCAUAAUCACAGAAACCACAUGGUUUCUGUGUCAAAGAUGGUUUCGGCUAUCACUUUGGGAUGGACCCGCGGCGUAUUAGCUAGUUGGUAAGGUAAUGGCUUACCAAGGCAAUGAUACGUAGCCGAACUGAGAGGUUGAUCGGCCACAUUGGGACUGAGACACGGCCCAAACUCCUACGGGAGGCAGCAGUAGGGAAUCUUCCACAAUGGACGAAAGUCUGAUGGAGCAACGCCGCGUGAGUGAAGAAGGUUUUCGGAUCGUAAAACUCUGUUGUCAGAGAAGAACGUGUGCGAGAGUAACUGUUCGUGCAGUGACGGUAUCUGGCCAGAAAGCCACGGCUAACUACGUGCCAGCAGCCGCCGUAA
rnacentral:rRNA from 1 species